AAAUAGCCUGGCUGGCUUUCGCCGGUAACCGGCUUCUUAGAGGGACUGUCAGCGUCUAGCUGACGGAAGUUUGAGGCAAUAACAGGUCUGUGAUGCCCUUAGAUGUUCUGGGCCGCACGCGCGCUACAAUGACAGAGCCAGCGAGUUCUUUUCCUUGGCCGGAAGGUCAUGGGUAAUCUUGUGAAACUCU
rnacentral:rRNA from 1 species